CUGGUCUCCGUUAGGGUUUCGCUACUGUUUUACCAAAACAUUGUGUAGCCGAGGAGCUGCGAGCACACAGUGACAGACCGCGGGAAAUGUCGGUACUUCCUGUGCGAUGAAGUCUUGGCGCGACAUAACAGUGGUAAACAACGGGAGGACGCAUAACAACACGCAAACGAGAACUCCUUGAGGAUCUGAGCCACAGCAGCAAUAUGGACGACAUCGACACCAGCGAAAACCCCGGUCUCUUUUUGCCUGAGGACAAUGAGGAUUCUGUGGAUAUCUAUGACGGCCUGGACAGCCCUUUCAGCAGCAAUGGAGAGCAAUUAUCACAAAAGGCAUCGCAGCUGAAGGAAUCAAUGGACCUCUACGAAGAAAUUGUCACAGAGGAACAGCAGAGCAGAGAGACGUC
ensembl:lncRNA